UACGUAGGGGGCAAGCGUUGUCCGGAAUCAUUGGGCGUAAAGAGCGUGUAGGCGGCCCGAUAAGUCCGCUGUGAAAGUCCAGGGCUCAACCCUGGAAAGCCGGUGGAUACUGUCGGGCUAGAGUCCGGAAGAGGCGAGUGGAAUUCCUGGUGUAGCGGUGAAAUGCGCAGAUAUCAGGAGGAACACCGAUAGCGAAGGCAGCUCGCUGGGACGGAACUGACGCUGAGACGCGAAAGCGUGGGGAGCAAACAGG
rnacentral:rRNA from 1 species